CCCAAGGCUGCUAGGCGACCGCUCGGUGCCGCCUCUAUGAAUAUGGGGGUGGUGCUGGUGGACGUCAUUCCGGCUAGAGAAAGUGCGCUAGUCGCUCAAAACAACUUGUUCCAGUCUUCCCUGUCCUCCACCGCAGCUCCCCCGCCUGCUGCCUGCAUCAUGUCAACUAGACCUGAAUAAAGACCUGCUUGAUACUUAAAUGUAGAGGAUCAUGGUGUUUUUUUACUUUUUAAUAAAAUGAUCAAUGAGGGCUGUAGUUAUUGGAAUAUAAGAAAGGCAAAGAAUCCAGCACUGCUGUGAUUACGGCACAAUCAAAAACACAGCAUGAGGAGACCAUAAUAUUGCAGAAUGACACAGCCUGAAGUUGGUGGCAACAAGAGGAGACCAAAUAGUGGCAGAAUGACACAGCCUGGAAUUGGUGGCAGCAGGAGGAGACCCUAUAGUGGCAGAAUGACCCAGCCUGGUGAUAGCAACAGCCUGAUGAAACCAUAGUGCCUCACAAUUGACAAGAUUAAAGAUAUAUAUAUUUUUUUAAUUUAAAUUGAAGAUUUCAAAUAGAUGGACCUAAAAAGUUUCAUUUAA